UACGUAGGUCCCGAGCGUUGUCCGGAUUUAUUGGGCGUAAAGCGAGCGCAGGUGGUUUAUUAAGUCUGGUGUAAAAGGCAGUGGCUCAACCAUUGUAUGCAUUGGAAACUGGUAGACUUGAGUGCAGGAGAGGCAAGUGGAAUUCCUAGUGUAGCGGUGAAAUGCGUAGAUAUUAGGAGGAACACCAGUGGCGGAGGCGGCUUACUGGACGGUAACUGACGCUGAGGCUCGAAAGCGUGGGGAGCAAACAGG
rnacentral:rRNA from 1 species